rnacentral:rRNA from 1 species
GUUCUCUCGCUGACAACUGAGGAAUAGAAGUGCCCACUUGAACCUUCAACGAGAAAUCAAUGAAGGCAAGUCCAGUUGCGCUCGCACGGCCGCCGUUCAUUCCAGCUCCAAUAGCUGUACUCUGAAGUAGUUGCAGGUAAAAGCUGCUAGCUGAACCUUGGGCUAGCUGCGGGUACCUCCUCACGCGUGCACUGUCCAGCCUGAGUCCUUCCUUGAGACAGAACAUCAUGCCUCACUGAGCGUGCUGGGGAAUCAGGACUUUUACUUUGAAAAAAUCAGAGUGUUCAAAGCAGGCCUUUGCUCGAAUACGUUAGCAUGGAAUAAUAUAAUAGGGCGUGCGUUUCUAUCUUUGUUGGUUUCUAGAGACGCCGCAAAGAUUAACAGGAACAGUCGGGGGCAUCAGUAUUCAGUGGUCAGAGGUGAAAUUAUUGGAUUUACUGAAGACUAACUACUGCGAAAGCAUUUGCCAAGGAUGUUUCAUUAAUCAGAGAACGAAAGUUAGGGGAUCGAAGACGAUCAGAUACCGUCGUAGUCUUAACCGUAAACUAUGCCGACUAGGGAUCGGGCGAUGUUCUUUUUUCGACUCGCUCGGCACCUUACGAGAAAUCAAAGUUUUUGGGUUCUGGGGGGAUUAUGGUCGCAAGGCUGAAACUUAAAGAAAUUGACGGAAGGUCACCACCAGGCGUGGAGCUUGCGGCUUAAUUUGACUCAACACGGGGAAACUCACCAGGUCCAGAUGAAAUAAGGAUUGACAGAUUGAGAGCUCUUUCUUGAUUUUUCAGGUGGUGGUGCAUGGCCGCUCUUAGUUCGUGGGGUGACUUGUCUGCUUAAUUGCGAUAACGAGCGAGACCUUACUCUGCUAAAUAGCCAGGCUAACUUUGGUUGGUCGCCGGCUUCUUAGAGAGACUAUCAACUCAAGUUGAUGGAAGUUUGAGGCAAUAACAGGUCUGUGAUGCCCUUAGAUGUUCUGGGCCGCACGCGCGCUACACUGACAGAGCCAACGAGUUCUUUUCCUUGUUCGAAAGAAUUGGGUAAUCUUGUUAAACUCUGUCGUGCUGGGGAUAAAGCAUUGCAAUUAUUGCUUUUCAACGAGGAAUCCCUAGUAAGCGCGUGUCAUCAGCCUGCGUUGAUUACGUCCCUGACCUUUGUACACACCGCCCGUCGAUACUACCGAUUGAAUGGCUCAGUGAGGCCUUCGGACUGGCUAGAGGAGGUUGGCAACGACCACCUCAAGCCGGAAAGUUCGUCAAACUCGGUCAUUAGAGAAGUAAAAGUCUAGAAUU